ACGAGCAAAUUGAGAGAGACACAUGCACACUUCAAAAACUAUUACCAAUUUUAUUCCGCUUGUCGCCCUAAAUAUUUGACGUCGUAGAUAUUUAGCAAUCUACUUAUUUAGGACGACAUCCUAGUCCCAGUCCUCUGCUUAGCCCUGACGUCCUAGCUGACGUGGACGUCGUAGAUCUUAAGCUGUCUAUUGGUUCAUUUUGUGAGGCGGGCGUGUUCUGGUAAUUUUUUGCACGUAUCGGUAUAAAUUUUCAUUACCUGGA